CACCACUCUAUACUUCAAAAUUCUAGCGCCGACUAACCCACCAAAUUAGAUAAUUUUUCUAUAUGAAAAAGUUUAAUAGUAAAUAAUAGAAACUGUUUGUGCUCCCUACCUUUAUUUUCGAAAGCAAUUCAUAGGAUUCAUAUUCUUUUUUUUCAAUUUCUUUACACAUAGAAACAACGAAAAUUUUCCAGAUCUUGUCAAUUUGAUAGCAAAAUCUUUUGCAUAAUUAGUUUAGCGAAGGGGGAAAUUAGGGCAGAGUGCAAGAGCAGUUCUGGCGGCGUCUCGUUCUACAUCUUCGUCGCCGAGCUCUUAUUCUACAAGAAAUGUUUAGAGCAAAGUUAGCUUCUUCAGAGUUGUUUACUUUUCUUGGAGGAUUCACAAGCUCUCUCAUAUUCGUUACACUACUCAUGUUCAUUGAAAAUGGUCAAGAAACAAUUGAUAUCAAAACCAAGGCUCAAAGCUGAGAAGUGGGCACUAACAGGGGAUGCACAAGAAAGCGAACUACUCGUAGAUAUGAAAGAACAUUCGAUUGUCCAUCACUUUCAGGAACAUCAUACUUGUACCUUGUUUGUAGUUUGUCAUUUUUUAAUACUUUUAUAUGGUUGAUGUUGCUGCUAAAGCUAUUAGCUUGUAGGUUUUGUAUAAGUUUCAUUGUUUGUUGACUGUUAUGGAAGUAUUUUAAUCAAAAUUCUUUUUCUUUGUCUUUUAA